UACGUAGGUGGCAAGCGUUGUCCGGAAUUAUUGGGCGUAAAGCGCGCGCAGGCGGUCCCUUAAGUCUGAUGUGAAAGCCCACGGCUCAACCGUGGAGGGUCAUUGGAAACUGGGGGACUUGAGUGCAGAAGAGGAAAGUGGAAUUCCAUGUGUAGCGGUGAAAUGCGUAGAGAUAUGGAGGAACACCAGUGGCGAAGGCGGCUUCCUGGUCUGUAACUGACACUGAGGCGCGAAAGCGUGGGGAGCAAACAGG
rnacentral:rRNA from 1 species